UAUUCACUCUGGCGGCGUGCCUAAUACAUGCAAGUCGAGCGAACAGAUGAGGAGCUUGCUCCUCUGACGUUAGCGGCGGACGGGUGAGUAACACGUGGAUAACCUACCUAUAAGACUGGGAUAACUUCGGGAAACCGGAGCUAAUACCGGAUAAUAUAUUGAACCGCAUGGUUCAAUAGUGAAAGACGGUUUUGCUGUCACUUAUAGAUGGAUCCGCGCCGCAUUAGCUAGUUGGUAAGGUAACGGCUUACCAAGGCAACGAUGCGUAGCCGACCUGAGAGGGUGAUCGGCCACACUGGAACUGAGACACGGUCCAGACUCCUACGGGAGGCAGCAGUAGGGAAUCUUCCGCAAUGGGCGAAAGCCUGACGGAGCAACGCCGCGUGAGUGAUGAAGGUCUUCGGAUCGUAAAACUCUGUUAUUAGGGAAGAACAAAUGUGUAAGUAACUAUGCACGUCUUGACGGUACCUAAUCAGAAAGCCACGGCUAACUACGUG
rnacentral:rRNA from 1 species